rnacentral:rRNA from 1 species
AUUGAACGCUGGCGGCAUGCCUUACACAUGCAAGUCGAACGGUAACAGGUCUUCGGAUGCUGACGAGUGGCGAACGGGUGAGUAAUGCAUCGGAACGUGCCCAGUAGUGGGGGAUAGCCCGGCGAAAGCCGGAUUAAUACCGCAUACGACCUGAGGGUGAAAGGGGGGGGAUCGCAAGACCUCUCGCUAUUGGAGCGGCCGAUGUCAGAUUAGCUAGUUGGUGGGGUAAAGGCCUACCAAGGCAACGAUCUGUAGUUGGUCUGAGAGGACGACCAGCCACACUGGGACUGAGACACGGCCCAGACUCCUACGGGAGGCAGCAGUGGGGAAUUUUGGACAAUGGGCGCAAGCCUGAUCCAGCAAUGCCGCGUGCAGGAAGAAGGCCUUCGGGUUGUAAACUGCUUUUGUCAGGGAAGAAAUCUUCUGGGUUAAUACCUCGGGAGGAUGACGGUACCUGAAGAAUAAGCACCGGCUAACUACGUGCCAGCAGCCGCCGUAAAAC